rnacentral:rRNA from 1 species
AGUGAACGCUGGCGGCAGGCCUAACACAUGCAAGUCGAACGAACUCUUCGGAGUUAUUGUCGGACGGGUGAGUAACCCGUGGGAACGUUCCCUUUGGUUCGGAAUAACUCAGGGAAACUUGUGCUAAUACCGAAUGUGCCCUUCUGGGGAAAGAUUUAUCGACAUUGUAGCGGCCCUCGUCUCAUUAGCUGGUUGGUGCGGUAAUGGCUCCCCACGGCGACGAUCAGUAGCUGGGCAGUGAGGAAGAGCAGCCACACUGGGAGUCAGACACGGCCUAGAAUCCUACGGGAGGGAGGAAUGGGGGAUCUUGCGAAAUGGGGGAAAGGAUGACGGACCCAGGACGCGUAAAUGAUGAAGGUCUUAAGAAUGAAAAAUUCUUUCACCGGUGAAGAUAAUGACGGUACCCGGAGAAGAAGCCACGGCUAACUUCGUG